GAAUCACUCCCGCCGUCUCGGGCCUCCGGGUCCUCCCCGCUGGGCUCCAGUCUUACCUGAGGGCUGCCUUUGUCCCCUGGAGAACGCUGAGCAAAGUGAGUGCUUUCCAGAGCGGGCUCUCCAGCCCCCAGGGGUCCCUGUGCUGACAGCAGUAGCCAGGUCUUUCUCAGUACUGAGUGGUAUCUGCGUCCUAAAGAUACUUUGUUUCAGAAUUUCAUCCUUUCACUUUUUAAGUUCUCUGGGCUAGUGUAGAUACUUUGUUUCAGAAUUUCAUCUUUUCAUUGUGUAAGUCCCUUGGGGCCAGCAUAGCUUCCCCGGGUGAGCUGGACCCUGCGGGUGAAGCCUCCCUGUUCAGCCUCUGCCUUUCCUGACGUUCUCAGAGAACAAAGGGCUGUGUGAGGCGGGGCAGCUCAUGAAUAAUUUUUUAUGUAGAAGACUUGUUGAAAUAAUAUUUUGGAUAUGUGGGGUUAAAUAAAAUAUAAAGUUAAGUCUG